UAAACUUGAUUAUUAAUAGAUAUGGGCUAAAAAAUUAAAAAAUUUGGCGGUAGUUUAGUCUUGUUAGAGGAACUUGUUAAGUGAUCGAUACACCUCGAAGAAUCUUACUUAUUUUAGUUAAGAGUUUGUAUACCAUCAUUAAAAUAAUCUUUAAAGAGAAAAUUGUUUAACAGAUUAAAGUGAAUACAGAAAUUAGAUCAAGGUGCAGCUUAUAAAUAAGUUAUAAUGAGUUACAAUAAAUUUUAUUUAUACGGAUAGGAGGAGAAAUGUAAAUUGAAGGUGGAUUUAAUUGUAAUAUUGUUUUAAUAAGAUAGUAUGAUAUAAGCUCUAAAUUAU
rnacentral:rRNA from 1 species